rnacentral:rRNA from 1 species
UACGAAGGGGGCUAGCGUUGUUCGGAAUUACUGGGCGUAAAGGGCGCGCAGGCGGCUCUUCAAGUCAGAUGUGAAAGCCCCGGGCUCAACCUGGGAACUGCAUUUGAGGCUGGAGAGCUUGAGUUCGGGAGAGGAUGGUGGAAUUCCCAGUGUAGAGGUGAAAUUCGUAGAUAUUGGGAAGAACACCGGUGGCGAAGGCGGCCAUCUGGACCGAUACUGACGCUGAGGCGCGAAAGCGUGGGGAGCAAACAGG